AUUCAAAUAAUUUAAGUAUUAAAAUAUUAGCUUGUGGCGUUAAAAAUGUAGGUCUACUUUGAAUA
rnacentral:tRNA from 1 species